GAAAGGGACACGGCGGAAGCGCUUGACGAACCCAUUACCGCAGAAGAACUGGUGAGGGCAGUUAAGGCGUCAAAGCCUGGCAAGAGCCCAGGUCCAGAUGGCCUCCCGCUUCGCUAUUACAAAUGCUUUGCAGAGACCCUGUACACACUGAUGGUAGCCUCCUUUAACGCGAUCAGGGAGGGACACCACUGGCCCACACAAUCC